rnacentral:rRNA from 1 species
AACCUCCGCAAUGUGAGAAAUCGCGACGGGGGGAUCCCAAGUGCCAUUCUUAACGGGAUGGCUUUUCUUAAGUGUAAAAAGCUUUUGGAAUAAGAGCUGGGCAAGACCGGUGCCAGCCGCCGCGGUAACACCGGCAGCUCUAGUGGUAGCAGUUUUUAUUGGGCCUAAAGCGUCCGUAGCCGGUUUAAUAAGUCUCUGGUGAAAUCCUGUAGCUUAACUGUGGGAAUUGCUGGAGAUACUAUUAGACUUGAGACCGGGAGAGGUUAGAGGUACUCCCAGGGUAGAGGUGAAAUUCUGUAAUCCUGGGAGGACCGCCUGUUGCGAAGGCGUCUAACUGGAACGGUUCUGACGGUGAGGGACGAAAGUUAGGGGCGCGAACCGGAUUAGAUACCCGGGUAGUCCUAACCGUAAACGAUGCGGACUUGGUGUUGGGGUGGCUUUGAGCUGCUCCAGUGCCGAAGGGAAGCUGUUAAGUCCGCCGCCUGGGAAGUACGGUCGCAAGACUGAAACUUAAAGGAAGU